rnacentral:misc_RNA from 1 species
UUUCCGUAGGUGAACCUGCGGAAGGAUCAUUCAUAAUAAAGUGUUUUAUGGCACUUUUUAAAAAUCCAUAUCCACCUUGUGUGCAAUGUUAGAUCUCGUCAAUCUUGGCGAGAUUUUUAUACAUCAACUCAUUUUUUAACAAAUUUGUCUGAAAAAUAUUAUGAAUACUUAAUUCAAAAUACAACUUUCAACAACGGAUCUCUUGGCUCUC